AGAGGGAGCCUGAGAAACGGCUACCACAUCUACGGAAGGCAGCAGGCGCGUAAAUUACCCAAUCCUAAAUCAGGGAGGUAGUGACAAGAUAUAACAACGCGAUUAAAUGUCGCGAUUGUAGUGAGGGUAUUCUAAAAAUAGCUUCGAGUACGAUUGGAGGGCAAGUCUGGUGCCAGCAGCCGCGGUAAUUCCAGCUCCAAUAGCGUAUAUUAAAGUUGCUGCAGUUAAAAAGCUCGUAGUUGAACUUCAUGAGCAGUAGGUAGCUUACUACCUGCUCUCUACCAGUCUUUCGACUGUUACUGUGAGAAAAUUAGAGUGUUUCAAGCAGGCUAUUGCAGGAAUACAUUAGCAUGGAAUAACGAAUGUACCUACAAUUUGGUUAAUUGUAGAUUACUAUUAAUAGGGACAGUUGGGGGCG
rnacentral:rRNA from 1 species